GUCGAUCACGUGGUCACAAUGUUGCUUAGCAGCCACACAUUCGUGUCCAUCCUUGCACGCAAAUUGAUUUCCAUCACAAACUACUCAAAUGUAAAGUUCAGCUUUUUAAUUCAAAAAGAAAACGUUACCUGCCACUACGAGACUCGGCAGGCGAAUGACGAAAACUAACAUCCACCACAUCGACAAAAUCAUUCUUUGUCUACUUGACUAAUAUAAUAAUAAUAGUCAUGGAAAUAAUAUAGAAAUAUUGUGUUUUCAGCAAGAACACCAUACAGUAGAACUUGCGUGCUCGACACACUAUGUCGGUAUGAAGAACUCGAUGCAUUUUUAACCAAAUGUGGUCUUUCUAAAUCGACCUUCACCAAAAGGAAAUGUAGGGAAGGGUUCACAUUAUAAAUAAAACGC